AGCAGCCGCGGUAAUUCCAGCUCCAAUAGCGUAUAUUAAAGUUGUUGCAGUUAAAAAGCUCGUAGUUGAAUUUCGGGGUCUGUCCAUUGGUCGGGCUUUACGGUCCGUACUGGUGUGAUGGGUUCCUACCUUCUGAAUAACCAGCAUGCCAUUUAGUUGGUGCGUUGGGGAGGCAGAGCUAUUACCUUGAAAAAAUUAGAGUGCUUAAAGCAGGCUAGUGCUUGAAUAGAUUAGCAUGGAAUAAUAAAAUAGGACGGCAUGGUUCUAUUUUGUUGGUUUCUAGGAUCACCGUAAUGAUUAAUAGGGAUAGUUGGGGGCAUUAGUAUUCAAUUGUCAGAGGUGAAAUUCUUGGAUUUAUUGAAGACUAACUUCUGCGAAAGCAUUUGCCAAGGAUGUUUUCAUUAAUCAAGAACGAAAGUUAGGGGAUCGAAGACGAUCAGAUACCGUCGU
rnacentral:rRNA from 1 species